GAUGAACGCUGGCGGCGUGCCUAAUACAUGCAAGUCGAGCGAACAGACGAGGAGCUUGCUUCUCUGACGUUAGCGGCGGACGGGUGAGUAACACGUGGAUAACCUACCUAUAAGACUGGGAUAACUUCGGGAAACCGGAGCUAAUACCGGAUAAUAUAUUGAACCGCAUGGUUCAAUAGUGAAGGACGGUUUUGCUGUCACUUAUAGAUGGAUCCGCGCCGCAUUAGCUAGUUGGUAAGGUAACGGCUUACCAAGGCAACGAUGCAUAGCCGACCUGAGAGGGUGAUCGGCCACACUGGAACUGAGACACGGUCCAGACUCCUACGGGAGGCAGCAGUAGGGAAUCUUCCGCAAAGGGCGAAAGCUUGACGGAGCAACGCCGCGUGAGUGAUGAAGGUCUUCGGAUCGUAAAACUCUGUUAUUAGGGAAGAACAAAUGUGUAAGUAACUAUGCACGUCUUGACGGUACCUAAUCAGAAAGCCACGGCUAACUACGUG
rnacentral:rRNA from 1 species